UACGAAGGGGGCUAGCGUUGCUCGGAAUUACUGGGCGUAAAGCGCACGUAGGCGGCUUUCUAAGUCGGGGGUGAAAUCCUGGAGCUCAACUCCAGAACUGCCUUCGAUACUGGAGAGCUUGAGUCCGGGAGAGGUGAGUGGAACUGCGAGUGUAGAGGUGAAAUUCGUAGAUAUUCGCAAGAACACCAGUGGCGAAGGCGGCUCACUGGCCCGGUACUGACGCUGAGGUGCGAAAGCGUGGGAGCAACAGG
rnacentral:rRNA from 1 species